UUUAAGAUGUCUCUUCAUCCUCCCCAGAAUGGCAGCUCAGGGAAGCCAUUUUCCUUUCAAAUCACUGUUGUAUACAAAGGUUGUGCCCUUUAUGAGCAGAGCUUUACCAGUCUGUUUUAUACGCUUACACUCUUUCAAAUUCUUCAAAGAACGGUUUUAAUAUUGCCAUUUUUCUCUUUUUAUCUACUUGGAAAUCAUACAAUAAAUCCUUCUAGUAUGUUUAUCUCAGCAAAUUUCAGUGUGAGUGACAGACUCAGAAAUUUUCCAGAAAUAAUUACAAUGCUGCAAAAAGAAAAAAAUCCAACAUUUCCAAUCUCGUAUAUAUAUUUUCCUGAUAAGCUGGAGUUUUUGUUCUUUCUUUUUUUUUUUUUUUUAGAAAAUAAUUCCCUUUUACCCUCUCCCAAUUCUCAUCACCACAGAGGUAAAGAACAAUAUUUCUAAUCACGAAUUAGAAGCCUCUGUGAACCUAAGAGAAAACUUGCCUCAGAAUGAAAGAUAUUGACUAAUUUUAUUACCUGUAAUUAAUGUACAUUUUAAAGUUUAAAGGACAUUUUAUAUGUUUAGUGUUAAUCUUUUCAUCUGAAAACUCAGAAUUGAAUAAAUCUCUAGCUUUCUAAAUAGUUUUAUGAUAAUUACUGAUAUGGAGAAUAAAUUUAAAUCUCUAGAAAAGGAAUUCUUAAUAUGUGUCCUAUGGGACUAUACAUGCAGGUGGGCUUUAGGGGCCAUAAACCUAACUCAGAAACAACCAAGAAUCACUCCUCUGGUGGUAUGCCAACCGAAGGAAUGGAACUCUUACUCUCUGCUCUGUAUCUACCCUCCACAUCGUCUUCCUUCCAGUCCCUAUCUACUGUCUUUACAAGUUAUUUAUGGUCAACUUGACCAGCUGACAUGCUUCAUGAGGUCCUACCAAGC